GCCUAUCAGCUAGUUGGUGAGGUAACGGCCCACCAAGGCGACGACGGGUAGCCGGCCUGAGAGGGCGACCGGCCACACUGGGACUGAGACACGGCCCAGACUCCUACGGGAGGCAGCAGUGGGGAAUAUUGGGCAAUGGGCGCAAGCCUGACCCAGCAACGCCGCGUGAGGGAUGAAGGCCUUCGGGUUGUAAACCUCUUUCAGUAGGGAAGAAGCGAAAGUGACGGUACCUAAAGAAGAAGCACCGGCUAACUAUGUGCCAGCAGCCGCGGUAAUACAUAGGGUGCAAGCGUUGUCCGGAAUUAUUGGGCGUAAAGAGCUCGUAGGUCGUUUGACACGUCGAUUGUGAAAAUCUGAGGCUCAACCUCAGACCUGCAGUCGAUACGGUCAAACUAGAGUGUGGUAGGGGAGACUGGAAUUCCUGGUGUAGCGGUGGAAUGCGCAGAUAUCAGGAGGAACACCAAUGGCGAAGGCAGGUCUCUGGGCCAUAACUGACACUGAGGAGCGAAAGCGCGGGGAGCGAACAGGAUUAGAUACCCUGGUAGUCCGCGCCGUAAACGGUGGGCACUAGCUGUGGGUCCCUUCCACGGGAUCCGCGACGCAGCAAACGCAUUAAGUGCCCCGCCUGGGGAGUACGAUCGCAAGAUUAAAACUC
rnacentral:rRNA from 1 species